rnacentral:rRNA from 1 species
CCUACGGGAUGCAGCAGUAGGGAAUAUUGCUCAAUGGGGGAAACCCUGAAGCAGCAACGCCGCGUGGAGGAUGAAGGUUUUCGGAUUGUAAACUCCUUUUGUUAGAAAAGAUAAUGACGGUAUCUAACGAAUAAGCACCGGCUAACUCCGUGCCAGCAGCCGCGGUAAAACGGAGGGUGCAAGCGUUACUCGGAAUCACUGGGCGGAAAGAGCGCGUAGGCGGGAUAGCAAGUCAGAUGUGAAAUCCUAUGGCUUAACCAUAGAACUGCAUUUGAAACUGUUAUUCUAGAGUAUGGGAGAGGUAGGUGGAAUUCUUGGUGUAGGGGUAAAAUCCGUAGAGAUCAAGAGGAAUACUCAUUGCGAAGGCGACCUGCUAGAACAUAACUGACGCUGAUGCGCGAAAGCGUGGGGAGCAAACAGGAUUAGAUACCCUUGUAGUC